rnacentral:rRNA from 1 species
UCAAUCUGCUCCAUGAUAAUUUAAAUAGCUGCAGUAUUUUGACUGUACAAAGGUAGCAUAAUCAAUAGUUUUUUAAUUAGAAGCUGGAAUGAAAGAUUUAAUAAGGUAAAUGUUGUCUCAAAUUUAAUAAAAUUAGAAUUUUUUUCUUAGUUAAAAUACUAAGAUAAAUUUAAAAGACGAGAAGACCCUAUAGAUUUUUAUAAUUUUAUUAAAUUAAAAAAUUAAAUGUUAAUAUAAUUAAAAUUAUUUGAUUGGGGUAAUUAUUAAAUAAAUUAAAUUUUAAAUUAAUUUAAAACAAUAAUAAUUGAUUAAAUGAUCCAGUAAUAUAUAUAUAUAUAUAUAUAUAUAUAUAUUGAUUAAGAGAAUAAAAUACCUUAGGGAUAACAGCGUAAUUUUUUUGAAGAGAUCCUAUUGAUAAAAAAGUUUGCGACCUCGAUGUUGAAUUAAGAUAAAAUUUUAAUGUAGAAGUAAAAAA